rnacentral:rRNA from 1 species
GUAGGUGUUGGAUUUCAAGCUGGUGUUAAAGAUUAUAAAUUGACUUAUUAUGCCCCAGAGUAUGACACUAGGGAUAUUGAUAUCUUGGCAGCAUUUUAAGUAAGUCCUCAGCCUGGGGUUCCACCCGAAGAAGUAGGGGUUGCAAUAGCUGCCGAAUCUUUUACUGGUACAUGGACAACCGUUUGGACUGAUGGACUUACCAGUCUUGAUUGA